AUUGAACGCUGGCGGCAGGCCUAACACAUGCAAGUCGAGCGGAUGAAGGGAGCUUGCUCCUGGAUUCAGCGGCGGACGGGUGAGUAAUGCCUAGGAAUCUGCCUGGUAGUGGGGGAUAACGUCCUGAAACGGGCGCUAAUACCGCAUACGUCCUGAGGGAGAAAGUGGGUGAUCUUCGGACCUCACGCUAUCAGAUGAGCCUAGGUCGGAUUAGCUAGUUGGUGGGGUAAAGGCCUACCGAGGCGACGAUCCGUAACUGGUCUGAGAGGAUGAUCAGUCACACUGGAACUGAGACACGGUCCAGACUCCUACGGGAGGCAGCAGUGGGGAAUAUUGGACAAUGGGCGAAAGCCUGAUCCAGCCAUGCCGCGUGUGUGAAGAAGGUCUUCGGAUUGUAAAGCACUUUAAGUUGGGAGGAAGGGCAGUAAGUUAAUACCUUGCUGUUUUGACGUUACCAACAGAAUAAGCACCGGCUAACUUCGUG
rnacentral:rRNA from 1 species